rnacentral:tRNA from 1 species
AGCUCCGUAGCUUGGAGGAAAGAAGCGCCCGUGUAGCAAAUAGGGAGUCGUGGGUUCGAUUCCCACCGGAGCAU